rnacentral:rRNA from 1 species
AACGAACGCUGGCGGCGUGGAUAAGACAUGCAAGUCGAACGGGAUCAAGCUUGUAGCAAUACGAGUUUGGUCCAGUGGCGAACGGGUGCGUAACACGUGAGCAAUCUGCCGGGAAGUGGGGGAGUAGCUCGCCGAAAGGACGAAUUAAUACCGCAUGUGGCCGAGGGAGGACGAUUCUUCCGAAGACCAAAGACAGCAAUGCGCUUCCUUGAUGAGCUCGCGGCCUAUCAGCUAGAUGGCGGGGUAACGAGCCCACCAUGGCGAUGACGGGUAGCUGGUCUGAGAGGACGACCAGCCACACUGGAACU